rnacentral:rRNA from 1 species
GGGCCCGCACAAGCGGUGGAGCAUGUGGUUUAAUUCGAAGCAACGCGAAGAACCUUACCAGCUCUUGACAUGGGGAUUCUGGGUUACAGAGAUGUGACCCUUCAGUUCGGCUGGAUCCCACACAGGUGCUGCA